ACGGUAGCAUUUGAAACAUUCCUUGCACGCAGAGAGAACCCCUGCCACACAGUGUACAUUGUUGUAUCCCUGAUGUUGUAUGGAAAUGACGCCUUUCCAAAAAGCUUUGAAUUUGAGUUAUGGCCAAGUCUUUCUUUGAUCCCUUGCUACAGCUUAAGAUGCAAGCUAACCUGACCUGGAUAGACACUUCCUUCCGGUACAUCCACUGUGCCACCCUUGAUAAGUCCCAACUAUGAUCAAAUGACUCAUUGAUUUGUUCAGUCUCACUGUUGUUUAUCUGAGCAGAUACAAACACAGGCCUGUCUAAUUCUUCCGCAGGUUGUACGGCUCCUCUCGCCAUCACCUCUCUGCUCCACCGACCCCACUGUCAUCUCCUGUUUCCGUAAUUGGGGUUCACGGGAUGUGAGUCCGGCAGGAGGCUUAGAUGUGGAUUAGGUGGAGGAGGAGGAGGAAGAAGAGGAGAUAGGGAGCAACAUGAGUGACAGAGACUUGAGGAGCCGGCCUGCUAGCAGGCCAACAGGCGGAAAGAUCCUAAUCAAAUUGAGAUUGAGACACGCUCGCUUCACAUGACUGUACAAAAAGUCCUUAUCUCACAGCCUGGAAUUGAGGAAGGAACUACCAACACUGUUACAAAGGGUGGGCCUCAUGAGGCACCUGUGACGAGAGCCAAAUUGUGGCAGUUUCACCUUCUGGAUCUGGAUUUGCCACCUCUGUAUACGAAGGAGACAAGGAAAUCUGCGUGAAGGCAGAGGAGGAGAUGAGGGGAAGAGAUGACACUGACGCAUCCUUACUGUUCUACCAUCCACCCACUCCCCUGUCGAGAACAAAGAGCAGCAACAGGUUCUACGAGCGACUCGAGCGACGAGUGCGCUUUUCUCUUGUGGUUGUAAAGCUCACAAACGGACGGGGGUUGUCUCAGCCACCUAGCAGCGGCUUGACAGGCCUUCGGUUCUCAGGUGUUCUCGGGUCAAACGGUGUCAUCGUUGUACUAAAAGGCACAGUAUCCCCGAAAGAGCAGGCAUGCACCAAAGAGCUGUAAUCCGCCAAUGAACAAAGACGACGAAGGAGAAGAAGACGACAAUUCACUUUUCUGGACAAGUACUGGAGUCCGUGCGACUUGGAUUGGAUUCAACCCUUGGCCACAACACGGAGCGGGCUCCUAGUUAAUAUGCACUGCAUGAUUGAAGCAAUAUUACCUUUGCAACCGACCAUUCCGCCGUAACAGCGGAGAAGACAGUGUGAAGAUGAAUGUUUGAUUCCUGUGUGCGUUUGUCAUCCACAACAGCUGAUUAACUGAUUUUUACAGCCAGCUGACAGUUACAGAUGGGGGUGGACGGGUGUUGUUGGGGUUAAAGUCAGAUGAGAUCUACUCUUGGAUCACUGAAGGAGAUCAUGGCCUCUACGAAGUGCCAGUGAGAGGAGAGUCCGCUAUGCGUGCACGUCAAUAAGCGGAGAGCGCCAUGCCGGUAUGCAAGGAGACACACAUCGACCCGCAUGUGUGCACCCACACAGAGCCUCUCAUCUCCCCUGCAGGCGUUGCAGGGAUGUGGGGUGUUGUUCACAUGCAGUCCGUGAUCCCCUGCCCCCCUCUGGCGUCCUAUAGCGAGCGAUAUAUGAGAAUACGCUGGGUGGCACAAAGCCUUUGGAGCAAUCCACUAUAGUUGAGCUAAUUUAAUGCUGUACAGUAAAUACUAUUCACCAAAUGCUAGAUUAGAGACUGGUAAACAAUAUUGUGGCUUUGAGCGCAAAAACAUCUGCCUAAUCAAAAUGCCCGCAUAAACACACUAUUAUUUGAAGGGCCUAUAUUAGAUUUGAACCGCUCCAAAACACUAACCCACAUAAUGGCCAUUCGUUUGCUAAAGUCAGGUGACGAUUGGGUGCCCCCAAUCCAAGACUACACUAGUUUUUAUGAGUUGACCUAUAUACACAUCUACGACUAAGUCUCACCGUCCAAAUAUUUUUAGUCACUGUAAAAACUUACUUUGGAUUCAUAAGAACAUCAUAUCUGCAUGUGUUUGUCAGGUUUAAAAGGGCAAGCACAGGAGAAUCAAGAGGAGUGGUUGUCAUUUCAACAAUGGUGUGAUAUUACUCAGGAGCUGCUGUUGGAAUGGCAACACAAAGAGGCACAAAUGAACCCUAAGUGGAGCGCUGCUAAGGAGUGAGUGUUAACUCUAAGCCUCACAGCAAGAGUCAAUGGUGUGAAUAUCAAAAGCACAUCCCCCACAUCCCAGCACUCAAACCUGCUCUCUCGGUUCUCCAGCUUGCUCCCCACAAUCCAAAAACGUUGAGGCUCACUGAAGAGACUAUAGUUGGGAAUCCUGUCUUGGCCAAUUCUAACAAGAACUCUCUUGAUUUGGAAUCAGAAUCAAGCACAAAGCUCAUGGGUCGAGUUUUCAUUCUUUGGGGAUUUUCGCAUGUGCCGGUGUGCAGCCGACUAACUACCCGUUCUAGGCAUUUAACUCCAUUUCAUCUCACCAAUCAAACGCAGCCUGGCAGUCACACACAGCGUCUCUGCGGCUCCCGCACAGAAGCAAAGUUUUCAGAGUGACGCAUUUACGUGAAGCGGGGCAGAAACAAUGGAGGGAACAAUGGCAUGCGACUCACAGUCAGAAAAAGGCAGAACAGCUGGCCACAUAUUCUAUUUGUGUACCUAGCCGACUAAGAAAUAGAAAAGGUACGUCAUACGCUGUCAUCUGUGUCUGCUUAAAAAUGUCCAUUUUGUAGCCUACAAGAGUGUGUGU